AGGAUUUAGAUACCCUGGUAGUCCUUAGCUGUAAACGUUGUGCACUGGAUGUGGUCGGAUUUGGUCCCGUCUGUGUCUGAGCGAAGGCGUUAAGUGCACCGCCUGGGGACUACGGCCGCAAGGCUAAAACUCAAAGGAAUUGACGGGGGGCCCGCACAAGCGGUGGAGCAUGUGGCUCAAUUCGAGGCAACGCGAAGAACCUUACCUGGGUUUGACAUAUACCUGACCGCCGGUGAGAGCCGGUUUCUCUUUGAGCAGGUAUACAGGUGCUGCAUGGCUGUCGACAGCUCGUGCUGUGAAGUGUUCGGUUAAGUCCGGCAACGAGCGCAACCCACGCUGUUAGUUACCAUCAGGUAAUGCUGGGGACUCUAACAGGACUGCCCGUGCUAAGCGGGAGGAAGGCGUGGACGACGUCAAGUCCGCAUGGCCCUUACGCCCAGGGCUGCACACGUGCUACAAUGGCCGGUACAGAGGGUCGCCACUCUGCGAAGAGGAGCUAAUCCCGAAAACCGGCCCCAGUUCGGAUUGGAGUCUGCAACCCGACUCCAUGAAGUAGGAAUCGCUAGUAAAGGCGUAUCAGCAACGGCGCCUUGAAUCUGUUCCCGGGCCUUGUACACACCGCCCGUCACAUCAUGGAAGCCGGCUGCACCCGAA
rnacentral:rRNA from 1 species